UUAAUUGAUUAUGACGUACUUGUACUGAUUGAGAUUUUAACACGAAGUGAGUGGCGAACGGGUGAGUAACACGUGGGUAACCUGCCCAGAAGUAGGGGAUAACACCUGGAAACAGAUGCUAAUACCGUAUAACAGAGAAAACCGCAUGGUUUUCUUUUAAAAGAUGGCUCUGCUAUCACUUCUGGAUGGACCCGCGGCGUAUUAGCUAGUUGGUGAGGUAAAGGCUCACCAAGGCAGUGAUACGUAGCCGACCUGAGAGGGUAAUCGGCCACAUUGGGACUGAGACACGGCCCAGACUCCUACGGGAGGCAGCAGUAGGGAAUCUUCCACAAUGGACGCAAGUCUGAUGGAGCAACGCCGCGUGAGUGAAGAAGGGUUUCGGCUCGUAAAGCUCUGUUGUUAAAGAAGAACGUGGGUAAGAGUAACUGUUUACCCAGUGACGGUAUUUAACCAGAAAGCCACGGCUAACUACGUGCCAGCAGCCGCGGUAAUACGUAGGUGGCAAGCGUUAUCCGGAUUUAUUGGGCGUAAAGCGAGCGCAGGCGGUCUUUUAAGUCUAAUGUGAAAGCCUUCGGCUCAACCGAAGAAGUGCAUUGGAAACUGGGAGACUUGAGUGCAGAAGAGGACAGUGGAACUCC
rnacentral:rRNA from 1 species